AAAAAGACAAACCCUAGGUUUCCGUGUCCAACGUUUAACCGUCCAUCUUAUUUAAAAAAUUAUAAAAAAAAAAGAUAAGUCAUGCAUAAAGUAUUAAUCAUGUUUUAUCAUCUAACAACAAUAAAAAUAUUAAUUAUAAAAAAAUUUCAUAUAAGACGGACAGUCAAAUGUUGGACACGGAAAUCUAGAGUUUGUCUUUUU
rnacentral:pre_miRNA from 1 species